AUUCGUUCACCCUUAACUGGGCGCAGUCCGAGCUAUACCAUGGAACGGGGGAUAGC
ncrna:unclassified sequences Glutamine-II riboswitch (downstream peptide RNA)